rnacentral:tRNA from 1 species
GUCCGUGUGGCCCAAUGGUAAAGGCAGCUAUUAACUGAAGAGAUUGCAGGUUCAAAUCCUGCCACGUACU